GAUGUGAAAUCCCCGGGCUCAACCGGGGAGUCUCAUUCGAAACUGGCAGUCUAGAGUCAGUAGAGGAGAGUAGAUUUCCAGGUGUAGCGGUAAAAUGCGUAGAGAUGUGGAGGAACACCAGUGGAGAAGGCGGCUCUCUGGUCAAAGACUGACGCUCAGGUGAGAAAGCGUGGGGAGCAAACAGGAUUAGAUACCCUGGUAGUCCACGCUGUAAACGAUGUGGACUGAGUGUUAGUGCCUUUGCGGCCUGGAGUCCGGAGUUAACCGCUUAACUCUCCCCCCUGGGGGUUUCGGCUCCAAGGUUAAAAUUUAAAGGAAUUGGCGGGGGCCCCCCCAAGGGGGGGGCCCUUGGGUUUAAUUGGAGGGAACCGGAAAAACCUUACCUAUUUUUGCCUUCCAUGGAACUUCCCGGGGAAGAGUGGUUUCCUUUGGGAGAUAGAGUGCCAGGUGGUCCAUGGUUUUGUUCAGUUGGUGUCGUGAGAUGUGGGGUUAAUUCCCGCAACGAGCCCACCCUUUGCUUUUAGUUCCCAGCAUUCAGCUGGGCACUCUAAGGAGACUGCCGGUGACAAACCGGAGGAAGGUGGGGAUGACGUCAAGUCAUCAUGCCCCUUAUGACUUGGGCUACACACGUGCUACAAUGGA
rnacentral:rRNA from 1 species